CCUAUGAUUACGUUAUAAAUUUAAAAAAUUGGUAAUAAAUAGAUAUUGAUAUAAUUAUUUAUAUAUCUAUGAUGUGAAAAAGCUAUAUGUGUUGGACGGAAUAGUUUCAGCUUGUUGAGAAAUUGCUGCAAAGUUGCUAGCUGUUACAAGUCAUUCUAAUUUGUAUUCAUAGAUAACUUGAUAUCAUUCAGCUUCUUAAAUUAAGUCUGGUGUUUACACUAUCAAAGUUCCUG